GACGAACGCUGGCGGCGUGCCUAAUACAUGCAAGUUGAGCGCAGAAGGUUGGUACUUGUACCUACUGGGUGAGCAGCGGACGGGUGAGUAACGCGUGGGGAAUCUGCCUUUGAGCGGGGGACAACAUUUGGAAACGAAUGCUAAUACCGCAUAAAAACUUUAAACACAAGGUUUAAGUUUGAAAGAUGCUUUUGCAUUACCCAAAGAAGAUACCGCGUUGGAUUAGCUAGUUGGUUAGGUAAAGGCUCACCAAGGCGACGAUUCGUAGCCGACCUGAGAGGGUGAUCGGCCACACUGGAACUGAGACACGGCCCAGACUCCUACGGGAGGCAGCAGUAGGGAAUCUUCGGCAAUGGGCGAAAGCCUGACCGAGCAACGCCGCGUGAGUGAAGAAGGUCUUCGGAUCGUAAAACUCUGUUGGUAGGGAAGAACGAAGGUGAGAGUAGAAAGCCCCGUCAGGAAGGUAACCAAUCAAGAAGCCAAGGCUAACUUCGGG
rnacentral:rRNA from 1 species